rnacentral:rRNA from 1 species
UACGUAGGGCGCAAGCGUUGUCCGGAAUUAUUGGGCGUAAAGAGCUCGUAGGCGGUCUGUCGCGUCGGCUGUGAAAACUCGGGGCUCAACUCCGAGCUUGCAGUCGAUACGGGCAGGCUAGAGUUCGGCAGGGGAGACUGGAAAUUCCUGGUGUAGCGGUGAAAUGCGCAGAUAUCAGGAGGAACACCGGUGGCGAAGGCGGGUCUCUGGGCCGAUACUGACGCUGAGGCGCGAAAGCGUGGGGAGCAAACAGG